AACGCACCUUGCACUCUUUGGUAUUCCGAAGAGUAUGUCUGUUUGAGUGUCGUGAAAUUCUCAACCCCUCCCUUUUUGUUAUGAGACGGGAUUGUGGGUUUGGAUUAUGGCUGUCUGUUGGCUUUAUCGCCCGCUCAGCUGAAAUAUACGAGCAACCCAGUUGAAUUAGUGACGGCUUGACUCGGCGUAAUAACUAUUUCGCUGAGGACGUCCAUUUCAGAUAGUAGUGCUUCUAAUGCAAUAAUAUUAAAGCUUUAGACCUCAAAUCAGACAGGACUACCCGCUGAACUUAA
rnacentral:misc_RNA from 1 species